CUACUUUAGUUCGAUUAAAGAACGUUCAACAUGCAUCUUCUGAGCCAUACUUUGCUAUUUCCUAUUUGUCUGUUCUCAAUAAUGCUGCCCUUAUUCAGUUGCAAACAUGAAUGCGGUCCGUUCACAAUUUUAAAAACACAACUUGGAUACUGUUCAAAAGUCAAUUUUUGCCACAAAAUCGAAUCAGACGAAUGCGGAAUUGGCGAAACUUGUUGCGAUACAGCGCCAAGAAAUAUAUUCGAAUAAAAUAUUGGAACAAAUAGGAAUAUAAGCACAUUUGAGGAAAAAUCAAGUAUGUGUGCAUACAAUAUUGACAGAAUAUACAUACAACUUACCAGUUAUAAAUUGAUUUAUGCA